rnacentral:rRNA from 1 species
UGAGGAAUAUUGGUCGAUGGGCGAGAGCCUGAACCAGCCAAGUAGCGUGCAGGAUGACGGCCCUAUGGGUUGUAAACUGCUUUUAUAUGGGAAUAAAGUGAGGGACGUGUCCCUUAUUGCAUGUACCAUAUGAAUAAGGACCGGCUAAUUCCGUGCCAGCAGCCGCGGUAAUACGGAAGGUCCAGGCGUUAUCCGGAUUUAUUGGGUUUAAAGGGAGCGUAGGCUGUUUGUUAAGCGUGUUGUGAAAUGUAAGAGCUCAACUUUUAGAUUGCAGCGCGAACUGGCAGACUUGAGUGCGCACAACGUAGGCGGAAUUCAUGGUGUAGCGGUGAAAUGCUUAGAUAUCAUGACGAACUCCGAUUGCGAAGGCAGCUUACGGGAGCGCAACUGACGCUAAAGCUCGAAGGUGCGGGUAUCGAACAGG